UACAGGGGGUGCAAACGUUGCUCGGAAUCAUUGGGCGUAAAGCGCACGUAGGCGGUUCGUUAUGUCGGAUGUGAAAGCCCUUGGCUUAACCGAGGAAGUGCAUCCGAAACUGGCGAGCUAGAGUACUAAAGAGGAUCGCGGAAUUCCCGGUGUAGAGGUGAAAUUCGUAGAUAUCGGGAGGAACACCGGUGCCGAAGGCGGCGAUCUGGGUAGAUACUGACGCUGAGGUGCGAAAGCGUGGGGAGCAAACAGG
rnacentral:rRNA from 1 species